rnacentral:lncRNA from 1 species
GCUUUGCAGAACAGCUUAAUGUUGGCUGCAUCACAAAGGGCUUCUAAAAACAUUCAAAGUGAGUCUAAUAUCAUCCGGUAAAUAUUGACCAGCAAGUGUCCUCAGUGAGCAACGUUUGUAACUAAGUCCUCCACAUUUGGCUUCAACUCAUACGACGACUUCUCAUUGACCAAUAUGGAGAAAAACACAGGAUGGUUUAUGUUGGGGACAAAAGCGGAUGUCACACAGAAUGCUGCUGCUUCCACCACCACCACAACGACUGAAAAUGGGUCCUCCACAUUUAGCUACAACUUACCCGGGGUCUGCUCAUUCUCCGUUCCGAUCAUCAACAAAGAUUGCUCUACGUGUGGGAGAAAAGCGGAGGUCAAACACGAUUUUGUUGGUCCCAUCAUCACCACGGCUGAAAAUGGGUCCUCCAUAUAUCGCUUCAACGCAUACGGCUGCAACUUCUCAUGCACCGUCCCAAUCAAGAAGACACAAAACUUUGGUUUUGGGCAACCAGGGCCAUCCUUCAACCCAAACACCAGCAUCCCACUUCCUAAUUUGUUCAAGCCGAGAGAAUCCUCUGCGUUUGGGCCAAAAGGGGAUGUCACACAGAAUGCUGCUGCUCCCAUCAACUUCAAAGCGACUGAGAACGGGCCCUCCACAUUAGGCUUCGGCAGCAACCCACUUCCUAAUUUGUUCGGUCGGAGAGAACCCUCUGCGUUUGGGCCAAAAGCGGAUGUCACACAGAAUGCUGCUGCUCCCACCACCUUCACAAUGACUGCAAAUGGGCCAUCCACAUUAGGCUUCGGCAGCAAACCACAUCCUGAUGUGUUCAAGCAGAGAGAACAAGCGUUUGGGCCAAAAGCGGAUGUCACACAGAAUGCUGCUGCUCCCACCAACUUCACAAUGACUGCAAAUGGGCCAUCCACAUUAGGCUUCGGCAGCAACCCAUUCCCUAAUUUGUUCGGUCAGAGAGAUCCCUCUGCGUUUGGGCCAAAAGCGGAUGUCACACAGAAUGCUGCUGCUCCCACCAACUUCAGAGCGACUGAGAACGGGCCAUCCACAUUAGGCUUCAACUCAAACAGCAGGAUGACACUUGGCGAUUUCUUCAGGCAGGGAGAACCCUCUGCGUUUGGGCCAAAAGCGGAUGUCACACAGAAUGCUGCUGCUCCCACCAACUUCACAAUGACUGCAAAUGGGCCAUCCACAUUAGGCUUCAACUCAAACGGCAGCUUCCCACUUCCUGAUUUGUUCAGGCAGAGAGAACCCUCUGCGUUUGGGACAAAAGCGGAUGUCACACAGAAUGCUGCUGCUCCCACCUCCACCACAACGACUGAGAACGGGUUCUCCACAUUUGGCUUCAACCCAAAAAGCAGGCUCUCAUUUGUUGAUUCGAUGAAGGACAAAAAACCCUUUAUUUUUAUUAGAAAAGCGGAUGUCACACAGAAUGCUGCUGCUCCCACCACCACCACAACAACUGAGAAUGCUGACUCUAACUUCUCGUUGACGAACAUGUCUGGUGUUGCUGCAGCGUCUGCUUCCAAUAACAAGGAGGAGGGAUGUGACUCAGAAGAGAACAACGUGGACGUUCAGCCCAUAGUGUCCAUACCUGAGUCUGGGGAGGAUGGCGAGUAG